GUGAGUCAUCGAAUCUUUGAACGCACAUUGCGCCCCGUGGCAUUCCGCGGGGCAUGCCCGUUCGAGCGUCAUUACACCACUCAAGCCUGGCUUGGUAUUGGGCGGCGGGCUCCGGCCCCCGCCUCGAAAUCGUCGGCUGGACGGUCGGAAUCUUAGCGUUGUGGCAACUAAUUCGCUAGCGAGGACGACCGGACGCGCCGUUAAACCUCUUCUCACAGGUUGACCUCGGAUCGGGUAGGGAUACCCGCUGAACUUAAGCAUAUCAAUAAGCGGAGGA
rnacentral:misc_RNA from 1 species